UUCAUCCUUGUGACGCCACCAAUGUUCUAAAGUCCACUCUUGGCUCUUCUCUACAAAAUCCUCUGCUUUGUGACCCAACCUUCAGGGCCUCUGCCAAUCCCGUGGAUCUCUUCAGAUGUUCGCCAUCUCCCUAGGAGCUGAGAGAAGCCACCUGGUGGCAGGGGAAGUCAUUCUUGUCCCCCCAUCUUAACAAGCCUCAGGACACUUCAGAUCUGCUCAAAGGGCACCGCUGAAGUUAUUCCUGAAGAGCAAGGGCUGUGACAACCUUCUCUCUCACCUGCAAAUUGGGCCAGAAUCUUUCCUCCUUUGGAAUAAAUCUCACCUAGAAGAUUAUGGUGUAUCUGAAGAUUAAGAUUGGUGUAUAGUGUUUCUGAAGAUUAAGAAGAUUAAGGUGUGUACACCUUAUGGUGUAUCACCUAGAAGAUUAUGGUGUAUGGUAAGAUUAUAUCAUGGUGUAUAAUCCUUUUUGUUAAAGUUUAUUUAUUCAUUUAUUUUGAGAGAGAGAGAGAAAGAGAAAGACAGAGGGAAGGAGAGAGAGAAUCCCAAUCAGGCUCUCUGCUGUCAGUGCAGACCCUUACAUGGGGUUUGACCUCAUAAACUGUGAGAUCAUGACCUGAGCCUAAAUCAAGAGUUGGAUGUUCAGCCAACUGAGCCACCCAGGUGCCCUUAUAAUCCUUUUAAUAUGCUGAAUUUUAUUUGCUAGCAUUUUGUUGAGAAUUUUUUUUUUUUUUUUGCAUCAAUGUUCAUAAGGGAUAUUGGUCUGUAGUUAUCUUUUCUUGUAAUGUCUUUGGCUUUGGUGUCUGGGUAAUAUUGGCCUCAUAGAAUGAGUUAAGAAGUGUUUCCUCAUUAGGGCACCUGGUUGGCUCAGUCAGUAGAGCAUGUGACUCUGGAUCUUGGAGUUGUGAGUUCCAGCCCUAUGUUGGG